GGUAGAGCACUGUUUCGGCUAGGGGGCCAUCCCGGCUUACCAACCCGAUGCAAACUGCGAAUACCGGAGAAUGUUAUCACGGGAGACACACGGCGGGUGCUAACGUCCGUCGUGAAGAGGGAAACAACCCAGACCGCCAGCUAAGGUCCCAAAGUCAUGGUUAAGUGGGAAACGAUGUGGGAAGGCCCAGACAGCCAGGAUGUUGGCUUAGAAGCAGCCAUCAUUUAAAGAAAGCGUAAUAGCUCACUGGUCGAGUCGGCCUGCGCGGAAGAUGUAACGGGGCUAAACCAUGCACCGAAGCUGCGGCAGCGACACUGUGUGUUGUUGGGUAGGGGAGCGUUCUGUAAGCCUGUGAAGGUGUGUCGUGAGGC
rnacentral:rRNA from 1 species